GAUGAACGCUGGCGGCGUGCCUAAUACAUGCAAGUCGAGCGAACGGACGAGAAGCUUGCUUUUCUGAUGUUAGCGGCGGGCGGGUGAGUAACACGUGGAUAACCUACCUAUAAGACUGGGAUAACUUCGGGAAACCGGAGCUAAUACCGGAUAAUAUUUUGAACCGCAUGGUUCAAAAGUGAAAGACGGUCUUGCUGUCACUUAUAGAUGGAUCCGCGCUGCAUUAGCUAGUUGGUAAGGUAACGGCUUACCAAGGCAACGAUGCAUAGCCGACCUGAGGGGGUGAUCGGCCACACUGGAACUGAGACACGGUCCAGACCCCUACGGGAGGCAGCAGGAGGGAAUCUGCCGCAAUGGGCGAAAGCCUGACGGAGCAACGCCGCGUGAGUGAUGAAGGUCUUCGGAUCGUAAAACUCUGUUAUGAGGGAAGAACAUAUGUGUAAGUAACUGUGCACAUCUGGACGGUACCUAAGCAGAAAGCCACGGCUAACUACGU
rnacentral:rRNA from 1 species